rnacentral:rRNA from 1 species
GACGAACGCUGGCGGCGUGCUUAACACAUGCAAGUCGAACGGAAAGGCCCUGCUUUUGUGGGGUGCUCGAGUGGCGAACGGGUGAGUAACACGUGAGUAACCUGCCCUUGACUUUGGGAUAACUUCAGGAAACUGGGGCUAAUAUCGGAUAGGAGCUCCUGCUGCAUGGUGGGGGUUGGAAAGUUUCGGCGGUUGGGGAUGGACUCGCGGCUUAUCAGCUUGUUGGUGGGGUAGUGGCUUACCAAGGCUUUGACGGGUAGCCGGCCUGAGUGGGUGACCGGCCACAUUGGGACUGAGAUACGGCCCAGACUCCUACGGGAGGCAGCAGUGGGGAAUAUUGCACAAUGGGCGGAAGCCUGAUGCAGCAACGCCGCGUGCGGGAUGACGGCCUUCGGGUUGUAAACCGCUUUCGCCUGUGACGAAGCGUGAGUGACGGUAAUGGGUAAAGAAGCACCGGCUAACUACGUG